CCGUGGCAGCGUGGGGUGCCGGUGGCUGGUGGGGGAUGGCUGGCGCUCUCUGCUGGAGCCUGUCCCGCAGUGCUGGCUCUGCCCGGAGCCCAGGCGAGUUGUGGGGCUCCCCCGGGCCGUGCUCUGCUGAAAGCCCCCUCCGUCCCCGCUGCAUGAGAACAGCUGCCUGAACUGGGAUGCUUGUGGAUGGAGGGACUGGGAGCACUGGGAAGGGGCUGUUUGCAGCAGCCCUGGUGCCCACUCUUCCGCAGAGCCACACCAUCCCUGCCCUCGCAGGGGCUGCAGCGAGGUUUCUUCACCCGCCGGCCAGGUUGAGUUGGUCUCUACCACCCACAGCUGAUUCUGGGGCUCCUGCAGCAGCAGCUUGUGGGGGGAUCAGGGUGAGGGGGGCCCUGAGGAGAGCCCCCGAAUGCGGCCUUGCACGAGCGAACAGGCACAGGCGCCUCUGCGGACUCUUCCUCCUGCGUGGAGCACCUCCUGUCCCCAGCUCGCUGUGCUUGAAAACAAGGGGUGAGAAGCCACCAUCCCCAGUCAGGUCCAGAGCCUUGUACGGCCUGUGACAGACGGCAGGAGGUUUGGCUCUGUGGGGUUUUGGGGUGUAGUUUGUUUUUUUUUAAUACUUGUACCGUAAAAAGGAAUGGAACCUCUCGAGCGGGGAAGGGGCCCUGGCCCGGCGCCGGCAAAUGUUUCCUGGUGGGGGGGGCAGGUGGAGGUCACCUAAAGAGCAUCCGUGUCACUCUCGUGGCUGCUGGGUGACGCUGCGCAGCAUCAGCUGAUGCCAUCGCUGCUGCCCGCCCGCCCCUGGGUUUUAUCUUGGAAUUUACUGAAGCAGCUGGUUUAAUCCAAGAAGGAGUGUGAGUGGGGGUGGGGAGUCAUUUAAGGGUGGUGCAAAAAAGCUGGGAGAGAGGCAAGGAGGGGGAAAAGCCCCAAAGGGGGAGCCGUGUGUCUGCUUCUGCCCCCCGCCUUUUGCCACCCGGGUCGGGGGACACGGAGGUGCAAAGGCUGGAGGGGCUCCCACCCCCUCGCCGCCCUGACGGGCGCUGGGGGCACUGAGGGAGAUGAGCAGUGCUAAAUACCGUGGAAAUGAAAUUGGCUUUGAGCUGGUUUGUUUUGAUGGUGCUGUGGGUGGAGUGUUUCCUCUGGAUUCUGUUUUCACAGAUAACUGCUUUGAAGGAUGAGCUGCUGAUCUGCCUUGGAGUGUUUAUUUUGGCUGGAGAAUGCAUGGAAAGCUUUACAUAUUUACGUAUUUUUCUGUAGGAGAUAAGAGGAUGGGAACUAGAGCAUCUUCGCUGAUCUCCAGAGGUCCCUUCCAACCCCCGGCAGUCUGGGAUUCUGGGAUUGUCUCAAGCACUCUCAGCCUGUCACCACCCCAGGGACACCCUGGGCAGGACAAUCCGAGGAUGCCAACGUGCUUCCACCCACCGCCGGGGCAGCCUCAGCGUGGGCUGAAAAGCCUGGAGCUGGGAGAGCUGAAAUUGGUGGCGUUCCAGACAUUCGCAGCCACUGCCUUUCCCUGGGACAAAGCGGUGAGUUACGGGGCAUGAACCUGGGGUAAAAACCUCAAGAAAAGGGGGUAGGAGAGCGUCGUGUGGUGGGAGAUUUGGGUGAAGCAAGUUUAGUCUUGAGCCUGCUUCUCAGUUCCAGAGGUCGCUGUGCCCAAUCCAACAGAGAGAGGAAUUCCUGACCGGGUUGUAGCUUUGCUCUGAUUCUGCAAGGCCCAGCAGAGCCCGGCUCGGGCAUCGCGGGAAGGGGUGAGUUUGAGCAGUAUUGGGUAUUAGAUGCCUCUGGCUGGUCCCAGUUUGCUGGAUUCUUGCUCCAGUCCUGCAGGCGGGGGAUAAAGUUGAGGUUUGGGAGCAGAGAGCAUCCCUGUGUGUGCUUAAAUCCCUCAUCUGGGCACGGAAGGGGGCAAAUCUGCGUGCUUUUCUCUACCACAGAGGAAACAAUGGGCAGUGGAAGUCAGCUGCUCCGUGGGAGCUUAUCUGUCCUCUGCUGGAAGCUUCCCCUGCCGAGGCCAUGAACUCAAAGAGUGUUCACCUGUAAUAUUUUUGAUAUGCUUUUUGGGACACAAAAGUCCUUUACUUCCCCCAAGCCCAGUGUAUUUGGGAGUAUUUCCUGAUGCUCGGUUGCCUCCAUUGUUCCCUGCUUGGUGUCUUUUGUCCUCAUCUUCCUCCAUCACCUGCUGUUUUACUCCAGAAUGUGCCAAGCUGCAGCCUGGGGCAGGAGUAAUUUGGGUUUAGGUGUUGGGGACAGCAGCGAAAUGCUACAUUAAUUAAACCCCGUUCAAAAAUCCAGUGUUUGGGGGACAAAAAAAAGUAUCCUUCUGGUUCUUACCUUUGCAAACACGUGAAGGUUGUUCUUACCUGGAGAAUAUUUGCUGCAAAUUGAGGCAAGUCCAAAGUGCAUUGUAUUUACAGGCUGAUAUUGAACAGGAACACCAGCUGUGUGUCUGAUCUCAGGGCUGUGGAUCUAGUUUCAGUAAAUAUUGAGGCUCUUUGUCAGGAGCCGCAGCUGUUGGUUUCAAGGGCUUAUUGACAGCACCUGUUUUUCUUGUAAAUGUGAACGCUUUACAGAAAGUUCCUGGUUUUGCUUCUCUGAGGAGAGCCCUGAAUCUGUCAACGUUUUGCUGUUGGCUUUGGGAAAAGGCCGUGCCCAGGGAAAGGUCAAAACCCCAGAGAACUGAGAGAAACAGUUUGCAAGAGCGACACAGGAAAAUAUGUGGUCGUGGGAGGUUUUGAGAAGCAAUAAUUCAGAGCGAAUGCAGGCUGGGACCUGGAAAACGGAGAAAAGGAGCUUUGAGGGAAACAAGGGAUUUAGAAAAAAGGGCUGUGACAAGCAGCACUGAGGUUUUGGAGGGAUUGUGAGCUGCUUGUCUCUAUUUUAGCCACUGCAGGAGCGUCCUCCAGAGCCCUGGGCCGCAGCAGGACCCGGCUGGUGCCGUGCUGCUGUCUCAAGGUGUUUUUGACCCCACUCGCCUUCUUGCUGGUGGAGUUGAGGGCCGUGCUUGUCCCCGGAGGGCGCUGCUGUCCCCUCCGCGGCGCCAGGGAUGGCAGAAGCUCUUCGCGAUGCAGGUUUUAGCCGCAAGUGCAUUAAAGAUAAAAAGGUCCCCAUCGGGGUCACUGUGGUCGUAGCAGCGUUGCUCCUCACCGUCAUCGCGCUGGCGGGUAAGUGGCUGAGGAUGGAGGUGCCCACCACCAACGUCCUCACCUCCCCUGGAGCAAACCCGAGUCACCAGGCCGCGUCCUGCUUAUUUCCAGCUAAGAAAUGCCCGUCCUGCCCUUCCUGCCCUUCGCCCGUCCUUCCCAGCUGCCUGGAGAACGGGAUCGGGUACAGGGAGAAGUGCUUUUACUUCAUGGAGGAUGAAGCAGACUGGAACAGGAGUCGGAUAUCCUGCCUUUCUCUUGGAGCCCAUUUGGCCACCAUUGACACUAUGGAGGAGCUGCAUUUUCUCUUGCGCUAUGGGAGUUCCUUGCACUACUGGGUCGGUCUCCGAAGGGAAGGCUCUGGGCCUUGGAAAUGGUUCAACGGGUCUCUCUUCAACAACCCGUUCGAUGUCCGGGGCACGGGACAAUGUGCCUACAUCAACGCUGACGGGAUCAGCAGCGACCGGUGCUCCCGGAUGAAAUACUCUGUCUGCAGCCACCGGCAAAAGCGUCCCAGCGGGAUUCGGAAGGAUUCAGAAAACCUGAAUUUCACCUGAAAUAUCCCCCUCCCUUCGCGGCACGGCAGCGAGUGUCCCAGUGGCUUAGGUUUAUUUUCAUUUUUAACUUACAAAAGCAGGAUCUCAACAAUGACACGGAGCUGUGACCAAAGGAUCCUUACUGUAGCCUGACCUCUAGUGUUCUUCCAGCUUUCGGAGUUACAGGGAGGCUUGGGAAUAUUCAGGAGCCUUGGAAACCUCCCCGCUUUGCCGGCAGCUGCUGUUCUGCCAAGCUCAGCCCUGCUGGUUUCGGUGCCUUUGGUUUCUGGGGGGGUUUGGAGGAGCUGGAGGCGAGGGGCAGCAAGGCAAAGUGGAGAGAGGAAGGCGAAGUGCUUCGGAGUCCCCCCGGCCUCGGCGAGGAGCCGCCGACCUGCCGCUCCGGGCUGUGUUUUGACACCCCGGCAAAUCACCCGGUACCGAGUCUGUCCCGUUGUUGCUCGUCUUCCUUUGGCUUAAAUCUCAGUGGCUUUUUUUUUUUCCUCCCAAACCCAGCGCACCGGAACACUGCGGAUGUGGGGGAGGCGCUGACCCCCCGCCGCAUCGCGGCACGAGCGUCCGCCUUGGUGGGACCCCAGCACCCAGAGAGCUCCGGGAUGGCCUGGGGUCGUCCCCUUGGACCCUGUGUUUCCAGUAACAGAAUUUAUCUCAUUAAAGUGUUUUCCCCUGCCCAACACCUGAACUGGGUCAGCAGUUGUGAGCUCAGCUGCGAGCAGGGGGUUGUACCACCCGUUUGCCUCUGGUUUUUCCAGCCGUGGUGGGGAAGCAGAAGUGGUGGGGGAGGCUGUGCUCCCCCAAAAGCCUGUUUCUCCUCCCCAGACCCCCGUGUGUUCACUACUUGGUCUAAUAAAUAUUAGCUCUAUCAGAAAAUGCCUUUUUUAAUAUAUAUAUUGGGGUCACUGUGGCUAUGACAGCACCCCCCCAACGUGAGAAAAUACCACCACUGGGUCAAACUUCUUGCUUUUUAAUGGGUUGAGCUUUCCCUGCCUUCGCGCUUUGCGUUCGGGUGUAAAAUAGGAAUAAAAGCUUAAUUACCUUUUCCUCUCUUCUCCCCGUUUAGCAGCCGGGCUGCAGAGACCGAACCCGGUGUGGCUCCGGUUUAAUUCGCUCCUGACGGGAUCGGGCGCGUGAAGAGUCGGAUCUCUUGGCUGAUCCCCUGCUUUAGUUGCUUACGGAGGCGGGCGCAUCACCGUGGAGCUGCCCGUGGUUUUUCUGCUUUCAGCAUAAACCCCCAGAUUCAAAGGAAAUGAACCCAAGCUGGGGAUGAAGACGGCUGCUGGAAGCCGCUGGGAGCGGGUAAGUGAAAGCUGGUGUAGCCCCUCUGCUGAUAAAGGCAGAGAUUUCCCCCAAAGCGCCUUCCCAAGCCGGCGUUGCCGUGAGGAGCCGUUGAAUCGGAGCGUUCAGCCAUCAGGCGGGGACACCACGAACGUGCCGAGGGCUGGGCAAACCCGGCGGGGUUUAGGUGACUCGUUUCUGUACCAUGAGCUGGGGAGGGGGGGAAAAAACCCCCCGCUCAAAUCCCCUGUCCGAGGGAAUCGCUUGCUUUAACUUCCCGAUAACGAGAGAAACCUAAAAUAGGAACUUCUGAUCCCACGUCUCCUUUUCGGUCGGCGCUUGAGCCUUGAGAUCUGAUUAUUUUUAUUGCUAUUAUUUUCUUGGCCCGAGAGCAACCGGUUGGAGGGAAACUGGGGCGAUUCCCUUUCAGGGCUCGCUGCUGUUCGGUGUAUAAUUAAUAAGAUGAAUAACUGUGGGGUGUUUGGGGAGCUUCCCAUGCCUCCGGCUCAAAGCCUUGGACCCUUUUCAAGUGCAAAAUAAAAGGGAGUAGGAGGCGUCUCCCCAUAGCGAUGGGUGGGUGAAUCGAUGGGGGUCCGGGCGGCCAGCAUGGGGAGUCAGGCUAAUGAUGUGGGGAGAAUCAGCUCCAAACCCCACAUAUUUUUAAACGAUGAUGAGUAGUUCUUGCUCAGCGUUUAAGGUUGCAGAUGACGGUCUGAUUUGUGGGCGAACCAACAAGCUGGGGGGGGUUUCAGAGCCCUCUUGCAACGUCUCCCUCCAUCCUCGGUGGCUUCACCCGGAGUAACCCCCCGGGAGGAGGCUGGGGGCUCGUCGCAGGCGCCACCCAGGGUCUCUUCCAGCUCGUUGCCACGCCGAAACGCGUGCUGGGGAUGAGAUGAGAGGGAUGACGGAGCCGUCUCUGCUCACCGCGAUGCGUCCUCGUGUCCAUCCUCACCUGGGGACCGGCGGGGUCCCCCCGCGCUGCUGCAUCCGUCGAUUCACGAUCAAUGGGGCAGGGUCUGGUUGGAGGCAGACUACGGCUUUUGGAAGCUCGUGGAAAAUGCUCUAUAAACUAUUGGUGAUGCGCUGAUCCAGCAGAAAUGCCAGCUUUAAUGAUAUUCUGGCGUGUCUCAGCAGGAAGCGCAAUGAAAAUACAAGUUUAUAAAUGUUGGUGUGGGAUUUUUCCAAAGAAAACUCUUCUCUUCUUUCCAUCUGCUGCUGGCAGAGCUGAGCGCUGCUGGUCAGCUACGUCCUUUGCUUCCAGAGGACGUAGUCGUCGGCUCUGCUGCAGAGCCAGUGCUUCAUCGUGUGGCACAGGGACGAGCUGAUCCUCUCCUGGUUGAGGUAGGCGCAGGGCCCGCCGCCCCGCACCUCAAACCUGCCAGACGGACACGCUCAGGAGAGCGAGAAAAGGAGGGCAAGAAGAAAGCUACCCGCCUCCACCCCCCCAAAAAAAACCAAGGAAAAUAAAGCAAAGCUGGGAUUCCAUCCCUGGGAGAGAAGGGGAGGCGCUGGGUGACCUGCUGCGGCGGUGACGGGCUGGGUCGACGACGGGAGGGCAGGGGCUGUUGUUGCCCUCGACUCCAGGAAGGCGUUGGACACCGUCCCCCGUAACGCCCUCACGGACAAGCCGGGGAAGCGUGGGGUGGACGAGAGGAGGGUGACGUGGACAGAGAAGUGGCUCAACAACAGGGCUCAGAGGGUCGGGGGCAGCGGGGCAGGGCCUGGCGGAGCCCGUCCCUCGCGGUGCUCCCCGGGGGGCUGCGCUGGGGCCAGCCCUGGCCAACGGCGUCACCGGAGCCCGGGGCGAUGGGACGGUGAGGCCGCGGCCGGGGGGCUGCGGCCGGUUCUGGGGGCCCCCCUCCCAGUUCCAGAAGGGCGGGGAGCUGCGGAGCUGGUCGGGGGCUGGAGCAUCGCCCGUGGGAGGAGCGGCCGGGAGACCUGGGCUUGUUCAGCCGGGAGCGGAGAAGCCUGAGGGGGGUCUCAGCAGCGCUCAUGGUGUCAGUGUGAAAAUCAGCUGCGAGUUCCUCCUCUAAUCGCUCGUCCCCAAAUUAAUUGUGCUGAUUUGCGUGUUUCCUCUCCCUUUUCCACCUCUGGGCAUCGGAGGGGAAGUAAAACCAUGGGGGGGGCGUUAAUUGCCUCCAAGAAAUUAUGGAUUUAUCAGAGCAACUUCAGGUUUCGUUGAGGUAUUUGGGCUCACGUGCAGGGCAGCUUUUGCAUCUUCUCCACCUCAGUCGUUGCUCUGGAGCAACGAGGCUGGCGGAGCCAAGGGGUGGGGAGGAGAAAAGCCCCCUUUCUGGUGGGGAGGACAAAAAAAAAAGAAAUCGAUGGAAUGAAGGGCUGGGAGAAGGGAUUGCACGAGUCUGCACGGUGAAGAACCGCUCUGUCCGAUGCUCUUCGAGGCAAAGACGGUGAAAACCUUCCAAGCUCUUCCUCCUCCACCUUCGCUGCCGCCUCAGCCCCAUCCCCGAAAUCCCUUCACUCGCCCGAGACGCCGGCGGCUCCCUCCGCUGCGGCACAUCCCGGCGCCGAGCGGCCGAGGGAUCCCGACUUUUCGACGGACGCCCGAGUUUUCUUUGAAUCGCCUCGUCUUUUUUUCAGCAAACAUCAAAACCGGCGGCCACGUGCGAGUUUCCACCCCCCACCCCGGCAGCGUCUCGGUCGCCUCCCGCUCCGCGAGGCGGGAAAGGCUUUUCGCGGCAUUCGCUUGCAGGAAUUUUGCUGAAAAGAGUUGAAUUUGGGGCCCGGCAGAAAGGCCAAGGGGGCCGUGCCAUCCUUUUGGCCGUUCGGUGGCCGUGUGACCGCGAGAGUCGGCUGGUUUGGGGGCAGCUUGGUACUUCCACCUUCCGAUUCCCGAAUGGCAGCGUUGCUUGUGACCCUUCAAGCGAGAAGUGAGAUUUCUUUAAUUUUUUUCUUAUGAAAUAACGAAGCAAAAGAAGGAAAAAGCAACCAGAAAGUUCUUCCUCCUUUGCUCGGGCUGGGGUGAGGCAACCUCGGUGUCGACUUGGCCGUGCAAUAGGGAUGGGGUUGCUGUUAUUUCCCCUUUUAUUGGGAAAAAGGGCGAUAACCCCCCCUGUACAAGCAGCCAAGAAUUAGAAUUUAUUAUCCGGGCACUAAACGCUUUAACGUGAGACAAAA